UGAAAAACUCACUUCAAAUCUCGUCCUCGAGCCUCUGAUAGGAGGAACACAGGGCAGGUGUGUCGCUGAGGGUUGGAGGACUCCACUGUGGGUGUCUGUCCUGCCAGCCACAGCUCAUGGUCAGAUCCUGCUCCAAAGAACCCGAGUUACAGCUUAGCGGGCACUGCCGACCACCCGGGAGCCGGGCCAGGACCCCCCAUGGAGUCGUGCACGUGGGUGGCUUACUGCCUUUCCCUGGUCCAAAGACAUUCUCUGACCACAGGAGCUUCCAACUGGAGUGUUGCUCUUUGCUGGGAAACCCCAGAACUGGAAACUGGGGGCUUUUCCGUGAGAAGCUGGGCUGCGAGAGACAGGAGCUUCCUCCCCUCAAGACCUAGGUUUGCCGAGUUGGCCCGAGAGCUGCACUUAAAAA
rnacentral:lncRNA from 1 species